GAUGAAGAACGUAGCGAAAUGCGAUAAGUAAUGUGAAUUGCAGAAUUCAGUGAAUCAUCGAAUCUUUGAACGCACCUUGCGCCCUUUGGCCAUUCCGAAGGGCAUGCCUGUUUGAGUAUCAUGAACACCUCAACUCUUUAUGGUUUUCCAUGAUGAGCUUGGACUCUGGGGGUUUUGCUGGCUCACAGUCGGCUCCUCUAAAAUGAAUCAGCUUACCAGUGUUUGGUGGGUAUCAUGGGUGUGAUAACUAUCUACGCUUGUGGUUUUUCCACCAGGUAACCUUCAGCAGUGGAGGUUCGCUGGAGCUCAUAGAUGUCUCUCCUCAGUGAGGACAGCCCUUUGAAUGUUUGAUCUCAAAUCAGGCAGGACUACCCGCUGAACUUAAGCAUAUCAAUAAGCGGAGGA
rnacentral:misc_RNA from 1 species